UACGAAGGGGGCUAGCGUUGCUCGGAAUCACUGGGCGUAAAGCGCACGUAGGCGGGUCUUUAAGUCAGGGGUGAAAUCCUGGAGCUCAACUCCAGAACUGCCUUUGAUACUGAGGAUCUCGAGUCCGGGAGAGGUGAGUGGAACUCCGAGUGUAGAGGUGAAAUUCGUAGAUAUUAGGAAGAACACCAGUGGCGAAGGCGGCUCACUUGUCCGGUACUGACGCUGAGGUGCGAAAGCGUGGGGAGCAAACAGG
rnacentral:rRNA from 1 species